rnacentral:rRNA from 1 species
UAGUGUGAAUUGCAGAAUUCAGUGAAUCAUUCGAAUCUUUGAACGCACAUUGCGCCCCUUGAGUAUCCCGAGGGGCAUGCCUGUUCGAGCGUCAUU